GAAAAAGAGAACUUUGUGGUUGGAAAACAAGUGGUUCUCUAAAAGUUGGAAAGAUUGUUCUUGUCUGUAUCCUGUUUAUUUGUGGUAUAGCCCAUAACACUAGAAUAUAUGUUUGCAAUCAUUUGGCAUAGAAACAGUUCUAAUAGAGAAUAUCCUGUUCUGUUCUGUUCUGUUCUGUUCUAUUCUAUUUUCUCUAUUCUUCUUUAUUCUAUUCUAUUUCUUAGCAAUUACUUGAUUUUUUUUAAAUUAGUAUACUAGCAAAGUGUUACUAAAUUCCAGUUUCAGUUCAGUUGCUGCCUUAAUGAAGGUUAAGUGAAGCAUAGAAAAGAAGUAGCAGAGUUAAGACAAAUGUCCUUCUGUUUUUAUAUUGUGCACAUCUAAGUGGGGCCUAGACAGUAAGCAGAUGAUCUAAUCUGAUAUAGGAAUACUUCUAGUGAAUUAAAAUUUAUGAUGUAAAGUUCAAGGAUGGUGCUCUGACUUCAUUGUGUGGAUGUUUUUUGUUUGUUUUAAUGGAGGUGUUUUUCUCUUCAGUGUGUUCUUGCUUCCUUUCUGACUUGAUAUUUUUAAUAGAACAUGUAAGGUCUAUAUCCUAUAAGUACCAGCCACUAUGGAGAGGAAAGUUAGAAGAUUGGCUGCAAACAGUUAUCCUGGUCUGCAGGGUUUCUUCUAACUUUCCUCUCCAUAGUGGCUGGUACUUAUAGGAUAUAGACCUUACAUGUUCUAUUAAAAAUAUCAAGUCAGAAAGGAAGCAAGAACACACUGAAGAGAAAAACACCUCCAUUAAAACAAACAAAAAACAUCCACACAAUGAAGUCAGAGCACCAUCCUUGAACUUUACAUCAUAAAUUUUAAUUCACUAGAAGUAUUCCUAUAUCAGAUUAGAUCAUCUGCUUACUGUCUAGGCCCCACUUAGAUGUGCACAAUAUAAAAACAGAAGGACAUUUGUCUUAACUCUGCUACUUCUUUUCUAUGCUUCACUUAACCUUCAUUAAGGCAGCAACUGAACUGAAACUGGAAUUUAGUAACACUUUGCUAGUAUACUAAUUUAAAAAAAAUCAAGUAAUUGCUAAGAAAUAGAAUAGAAUAAAGAAGAAUAGAGAAAAUAGAAUAGAACA
rnacentral:lncRNA from 1 species